rnacentral:lncRNA from 1 species
GUGACCUCACUGACCCCGCCCCUGACUCCACCCCUUGUGAUGACCCCACCACUGACCCACAGGCCUUGGAGGGGCUGAUCCUGGAGAAGUCAAAGGACCAGGAGGACGCCAUGGGGGGUGCUGUACAGGCUGAGCAGGAAGCAGAGCAGCACAGCGUCAUCAUGAGGGUAGCCAUCUUCACCUGGGGCAUCCACGGAGGCCCUGCCCAGGAAGUGACUUUCUCUCUACUGUAGGAGGAGCUGAUCCACGACUACUUGGACAACAGCACACCAGCGAAGGAUGGUGAGGCCCUGCCCCCUGCCUGCACAUGACACUGCCCACGCCCUGUCUGAGACUCUACCAAGUGGUUCUGGGAUAAUAGAUUGAGGGGAUGGGGGCUGCAUACAUUUGCAUGAUUUUGCAUAUUUUGGGCUCAUUUGAAUAAAUUUGUAUAAGUUAACACCAGUUCUCUCAGGACAAAUUUGCAUAGAUUUGUGUGUGACGUCUUGGGCAAAUUAGCAUAAACCAAAAUGAUGUCAUAGUUGUGCUCUGCAUGCGUUUUUUGUGGGUUUUGCAUGAAUUUGCAUACAUCAGCUUCUUUGAAGUAGGUUUGCAUGAGCUGAGGUGACUUUGGUGGCUUCCUCUGUGAAUUUGCAUAAAUUUGCAUAAACCUGAAUGAUAACACAGUGAUGCUCUGGGUGGAUUUGCAUGGCGUCAUGCUUUCUGUCUGUAUGACUUUGCAUAAAUUUGCAUAAAUCUUCAUGGGCAAGGGGGAAGCUUCCAUGGCUGUCAGCUGCACCAGCGAAGUGACGUCACAUGACCUCAUUUGCAUGACCAGAGUCACUUUGCAUAAAUUAACAUAAACUAGUGAUCGAUCCCCCUUGAGUGCUGUGACCUCGACGUGACCCCUGACCUACCGCUGACCCCGGUGUGACCCCACAACCCCAAGGUGAUCCCUGACCUCCCCAUGACCCCAGCAACCUCGAAGUCACCAUGUAAUCCCACCAUGACCCUGACCCAACAGGGACAAGGCCUGGGGCCUCCGCCAUCCAUGCGUGGGGAGUGAUGCUGGUAGAGGGCAAAUUGGUGACGUCAUCAAUGCAGCGGGCUUCCCACUCAACCACUUUAGCCGCAAGCUUGCAAGGGCAGCUGCCAGAGACAGGAAGUGACAUCGCUGUGGAGAGGGCAGCAGGAAGUGAGGUCAGAGUGGGGGUGAUGGGAAGUAAUGUCAUGGGCUCAGGAAGUGAUGUGCUGCUGCUCUACAUGUGUACGUAUAUGCCUGGUCUGUGAUGCUGCAGAAUAUGUGUACAUGUGUGCUGGGUGUGGGAUGUACAUGUAUGCCUCAUGUUUGCCUGGUGUGUGAUGCCACUUUACAUGUGAUCCAGGUGUGAGAUGAUGCUGUACAUGUAUACAUGUGUACCUGGUGUGUGAUGCCAGUGCAUUGUGACUGGUGUGUGAUGCGGAUGCACAUGUGUGCUUUUGUGUGAUGGUGCUGCACAUGUGUAUGUAUAUAAGGUGUGUGAUGCUGCUAUACAUUUGUGCCUGGUGUAUGAUGCCACUAUACAUGUGUAAAUUGUGUGCCUGGUGUGUGACGCUGCUGCACAUGUGUGCCGUGUGUGUGACAACAGUGUACAUAUUUUCAUGUGUACCUGGUGUGUGAUUCUGCUACAUAUGUGUACUAGUGUGACUGGUGUGUAUUGUUGCUGCACAUGUAUUUUAACUGUCUUUUUACAAGGAAAACAAGACAGUUUCGCCCAAUAGAUGUGAAUUUCUAAAUACAUUUAAAAGGUCUUUUUUGAAUGUUAUUUCCUUUAGUGGGCUACACUGUAAGUCAUUACUUUGAUGUAUUUUCAUAUGCACGUCUUAAAUAUAACUGUACAAUGCGAUAAAGUACCAAAAAUUGUUUUAACACAGACCCUGCAAUAAAAAGAGUUAAUCAUGAAUGUCAAGAGUGUUAAUUUUAGUGUUCACAUGUAUUUAUUUAUUAGACAUAUUAUACUAUAACUGUCUUUUUCCAUAGAAUACAAGACAGUUUUACUCAAUAAAUGAGAAUUUCUAAAUGUGA